ensembl:snRNA U6 U6 spliceosomal RNA
UUAUUCAAUAGCACAUAUUCCCUAAAAGUGAAAAAAUAUAGAGAAGAUUACCACGGCCCCUGUGAAGAUACCUGAAUUCAUGAAGCAUGCAAUUUUUUU